rnacentral:rRNA from 1 species
GAUGAACGCUGGCGGCGUGCUUAACACAUGCAAGUCGAACGAAGCACUUUAUUUGAUUUCCUUCGGGACUGAUUAUUUUGUGACUGAGUGGCGGACGGGUGAGUAACGCGUGGGUAACCUGCCUUGUACAGGGGGAUAACAGUUGGAAACGGCUGCUAAUACCGCAUAAGCGCACAGCAUCGCAUGGUGCAGUGUGAAAAACUCCGGUGGUAUAAGAUGGACCCGCGUUGGAUUAGCUAGUUGGUGAGGUAACGGCCCACCAAGGCGACGAUCCAUAGCCGACCUGAGAGGGUGACCGGCCACAUUGGGACUGAGACACGGCCCAAACUCCUACGGGAGGCAGCAGUGGGGAAUAUUGCACAAUGGACGAAAGCCUGAUGCAGCGACGCCGCGUGAGCGAAGAAGUAUUUCGGUAUGUAAAGCUCUAUCAGCAGGGAAGAUAAUGACGGUAC